rnacentral:tRNA from 1 species
GGGUCGAUGGCGUAGUUGGUUAUCGCAUCUGUCUCACACUUCUAGUGUACACAGGAGGUCCUCAGUUCGAGCCUGGGUCGACUCA